rnacentral:lncRNA from 1 species
UUGUUAGCUAUUAAUAAUAAAAAUAACUUUAUUAACAAUAUUAUUAUCCUCUCUCCAUAUGAAUUCUCAUCCCAUAUGAAUUGUGGGCUUCUGCAGGAGAAGGUUAGCAUGCCUGAGGCAAAUUCAUCCGUUCCAUUCGAAGCCAGAGAACAAGCAGGGAAGGAAGAUGACCCAGGAUUGGACAUCUGCAGGCCUGGUGGACAGGCUGUGCCAGAGACCGAGGCAGGGUGGAAUCCCAAUGAUCCUGAGGAUCGAGGAAAGGGGGGAUAUUUUCAGGGUCCGCUUCUGAAAGCCAUGAAAAGAGUAAGCCAGCCACUCAUUAUGUGGCCUAAAUUAAGAGAGGUCCAAUAGGGCCCUGAGGAAAGCCGGCUCCCCCUCUACACACACACACUUUGUUCCAGAGGCCGCAGGACUGCCUCAGGCGAUACACAAACUGGGACCUGGAGGCCCGGGGCAGUACAGUGAUCCUGAAUCCAUAUUUCAGAUCUCAGAAGUGCUCCAGAUACCCAUGGGAAACUCCAAAAGUUGGCCAUCGGUCCUGCUACCAGUCCUGUACAGCUACGAGUGGCUGCGUGGAGGGUGCUCAAUAACCGGGUUGAAGCUGAGGAUGAAAAGGAAGACAAGAAGAUGAAAAGGCAGGCCGCCCUGCUCGCUGUGGCCCACCAGUCUCCUCAAGGUAACCUGAGGGAGAGGAGGCAUAUGCCAUGGAGCUGCCAUCCUGUUCAUGGGAAAAAGCCACUUGAAUUUUGAACUGUGUUUUAAGAACCAUACAUAUUCCUCAAGUCAAGGACAGGGUCUCAAUGAACAACUAAGUGAGCAUUGAAGAAAACCUUGUAAGUCCUUGAGCAGAGCAGGAGGAACACCGUGACACCAAGCCCAAAGCAUUGAGGAACUCGUGGAUGUGCACGAGCAAGCUCACAGAGUAAAGAUUCCCAGUGUUUUCAACAAGGGAGGAAUUAAAUGUUUCUAGUUAAUCCAGAAUAACCUAAGUUUAUGUUGCCUGAUAUUUUUUCUACUGUGGUCUCAAACUCUGGGAUUG